ensembl:snoRNA
UGGGCCAGUGAUGACAACUGGUGACAUGUGUCUUGGAUGAUGAAAAUAAAUGUCUGAAACUCUGAGAUCCAA